GACGAACGCUGGCGGCGUGCUUAACACAUGCAAGUCGAACGGAAAGGCCCUGCUUGCAGGGUACUCGAGUGGCGAACGGGUGAGUAACACGUGGGUGAUCUGCCCUGCACUUCGGGAUAAGCCUGGGAAACUGGGUCUAAUACCGGAUAGGACCAUCAUUUAGUGUCGGUGGUGGAAAGUUUUUCGGUGCAGGAUGAGCUCGCGGCCUAUCAGCUUGUUGGUGGGGUAAUGGCCUACCAAGGCGUCGACGGGUAGCCGGCCUGAGAGGGUGGACGGCCACAUUGGGACUGAGACACGGCCCAGACUCCUACGGGAGGCAGCAGUGGGGAAUAUUGCACAAUGGGCGCAAGCCUGAUGCAGCGACGCCGCGUGGGGGAUGAAGGCCUUCGGGUUGUAAACUCCUUUCAACCAUGACGAAGCGUAAGUGACGGUAGUGGUAGAAGAAGCACCGGCUAACUACGUGCCAGCCGCCGCCGUAACAC
rnacentral:rRNA from 1 species